rnacentral:misc_RNA from 1 species
UCCUGGUUAACCCAGGCAGUCUCACUAGAGUGCCCAACCGAAUUGCUGGCAACUAAUGAUAAGGGUUGCGCUCGUUGCUGGACUUAACCAAACACCUCACGGCACGAGCUGACGACAGCCAUGCAGCACCUGUGCAGCGGCUCCGAAGAGAAAUACUAUUUCUAGUAUCGUCCACUGCAUGUCAAGUCUGGGUAAGGUUCUUCGCGUUGCAUCGAAUUAAACCACAUGCUCCACUGCUUGUGCGGGUCCCCGUCAAUUCUUUUGAGUUUCAGCCUUGCGACUGUACUCCCCAGGCGGUAUACUUAACGCGUUCGCUACGGCACAAUCGGGGUUGAUUCCGAUUACACCAAGUAUACAUCGUUUACGGCAAGGACUAC